GGAGGAGGAGAUGGAGACAGGGAAGGAAAAGGAGGAGAAAGAGAAGAGGGAGGAGAAGGACGAGAAAAAAAGUCCAGCAGAAAAAAAGCUGCUUCAGACGAUUUAUUCACAACUUUUCCUCCUUUUCACAUUUCAUCGAACUUUCGAACUGAGCGACAAAGAUUUCCUCGUUUUUAAAUGGCUUUUUCUAAUUAUUGGCCGCUGUGUUGAAACCCAGUUUGAAGGAGAAGGAGGAGGAGGAGGAGGAAAAAAUAAGGAAAAUAAAAUCCUCAGAGGACCAAAAACGAAGAAAAGAGGCUAGUCAGAACGGAGAAUCUAGUGCGAGGGAAGUGCCUUUUUUCUUUUCCCCAAAGAGAGGAGGAGAAAGCCGAAGAGAGAUGAAGCGAGGCGGAGACAGGUGCUAUGAUAGAGGGAUGAGGAGUGGAGGAGAAACUCUCAGCCCUGCGGCCCCACAGGACUGGACGCCAAAACCCCAAAACCCCACGGGUCUUCCUCCAAGCUGCUGAUGACAUCACUGGCAGGGGCGGAGCCUGACCAUACAAGGACAGCAGAGAAUUGGACUCUGACCUGGUUCCAGUUGUGGUCCGUUCCUUCUCCCUCUUAAGGAUUUAAAGGUACAGUCCUCUCCAUCCUGGGGCGAAGCCAUUCGGGGAUCUCUGAUGAAAUCACCAAUAGGUGGCGCUCUGCCAUACCUGAAAGAAGGAAAUAUUAUUAUCAUAGAAACAUUCAUUGCUUCCGAUUUCAUGUUGUGCUGAAGAGAGAAGGUUGAUGAUUUUCAUGUUUUGACUUUUACUUGAUGAAGCUUUGAGUAAUGUCGCUUACAGACAGGAAGUGAGACAGGUUUUCAGAGUACCAGCGCUGCACUGCUCUGGGAGAGAAGGCCUCCAAGGGGAGGACCGAGGAGAUGAAAAACAUCAGGAUGAGGAAUGAAGGCGUAAGAGGAGAGAGAAGAGAAGGAGGGAUAAGAGAGGAGAGGAAGAGGAAAGGGAAGGAAAGGAAAAGAGGAAGGAUGAAAGCAAACAGUAAAUAAAAGGAAAGCAAGGUGAAAAAGAAAAAGAUGAUGAUGAAGAAAAAAUGAAUAAAUAAAUAAGGAAAAGGAGAACAGGAGGAGGAGAAUGAGGAGGAGAAGAUGCGUCUCCAUGAAGAUCUGGUGAGUCCUGCAGACUUUUUCCUUCUCCACAUUUUUACAGCUGCAGAAAUUGAGAUCUAUUAAAACCUGAUUAAUAAACUGACCAUUAUACUAGACAUAAUGAUAUAACAAUAAUAUCAAUAAUCAUACUUUGUAUCGAUCAUACUGCUGCUCUAUUUGUCUAAUAAAAAGCUAAUAAUUCAAUUUAAAUGGACGAAUAAAUGAGCUGUCUAAAGGA